rnacentral:misc_RNA from 1 species
CGCACAUUGCGCCCGUCAGUAUUCUGGCGGGCAUGCCUGUCCGAGCGUCAUUUCAACCCUCAGGACCCAUUUUAGGGACCUGGUGUUGGGGCUCAGCCGCUCCGGCCCGUGCCGACUCCCCUAGUGGGUUCGCGUGCGGUGCCUGGCUGACCCUGAAAUACAGUGGCGGUCUCGUUGCGACUCCCUUGCGUAGUAAUUUCACCUCGCACUGAAGCUCGCGUCCUGGCCACGCCGUAAAACCCUUCUCUCUCCUCGGAGUGCAGAAGCAUAUUCUUGGUUGACCUCGGAUCAGGUAGGGUUACCCGCUGAACUUAA